CUUGAUAAAAUAUAAGAGGUCCAGCCUGCCCAGUGAUAUAAUUAAACGGCCGCGGUACCCUGACCGUGCAAAGGUAGCAUAAUCACUUGUUCUCUAAAUAGGGACUCGUAUCAACGGCAUCACGAGGGUUAUACUGUCUCCCCCCUCUAAUCAGUGAAACUGACCUCCCCGUGAAGAGGCGGGGAUAUUUAUACAAGACGAGAAGACCCCAUGGAGCUUUAAACCCAAUAACAACCUUCACCAAAGUACCUUAAAAAUGAAGAGGCACUGUUUAUUGGUUUUAGGUUGGGGUGACCACGGAGAAAAACUAAACCUCCAUGACGAAUGGACCUUAAACCUAAUCUAAGAGCCACUACUCCAAGAAUCAUUAAUUUGACAUAACUUGAUCCGGCAACCGAUCAACGAACCA
rnacentral:rRNA from 1 species